rnacentral:rRNA from 1 species
CCUACGGGUGGCUGCAGUAGGGAAUUUUGCGCAAUGGGGGAAACCCUGACGCAGCAACGCCGCGUGAGCGAUGAAGCCUUUCGGGGUGUAAAGAUCUGUCAGUGGGGACGAAACCUGACGGUACCCACAGAGGAAGCACCGGCUAACUCCGUGCCAGCAGCCGCGGUAAUACGGGGGGUGCAAGCGUUGUCCGGAAUCAUUGGGCGUAAGGAGUUCGUAGGUGGCACGUUAAGUCUGGUGUUAAAGGCGGAAGCUCAACUUCCGUAGGGCACUGGAUACUGGCGAGCUUGAAUGCGGUAGAGGUAAAGGGAAUUCCUGGUGUAGCGGUGAAAUGCGUAGAUAUCAGGAGGAACAUCGGUGGCGUAAGCGCUUUACUGGGCCGUAAUUGACGCUGAUGCACGAAAGCGUGGGUAUCAAACAGGAUUAGAUACCCGGGUAGUC